GUGCCAGCAGCCGCGGUAAUACGUAGGGUGCAAGCGUUAAUCGGAAUUACUGGGCGUAAAGCGUGCGCAGGCGGUUGUGCAAGACAGGUGUGAAAUCCCCGGGCUUAACCUGGGAAUUGCAUUUGUGACUGCACGGCUAGAGUGUGUCAGAGGGGGGUAGAAUUCCACGUGUAGCAGUGAAAUGCGUAGAUAUGUGGAGGAAUACCGAUGGCGAAGGCAGCCCCCUGGGAUAACACUGACGCUCAUGCACGAAAGCGUGGGGAGCAAACAGGAUUAGAUACCCCUGUAGUCC
rnacentral:rRNA from 1 species